UACGGGGGGGGCAAGCGUUGUUCGGAAUUAUUGGGCGUAAAGGGCGCGUAGGCGGCUUGGCAAGUGGAUGGUGAAAUCCCUCGGCUUAACCGAGGAACUGCCGUCCAAACUGCUUCGCUUGAGACCGGGAGAGGUGAGUGGAAUUCCCAGUGUAGCGGUGAAAUGCGUGGAUAUUGGGAGGAACACCAGUGGCGAAGGCGGCUCACUGGACCGGUACUGACGCUGAUGCGCGAAAGCGUGGGGAGCAAACGGG
rnacentral:rRNA from 1 species